UACGGACGGGGCAAGCGUUGUUCGGAAUCAUUGGGCGUAAAGGGCGCGUAGGUGGUUCUGUAUGUCUACCGUGAAAGCAUACAGCUCAACUGUAUUUUGUCGGUAGAAACUGCAGGACUUGAGGCUGGGAGGGGCUGGUGGAAUUCCCGGUGUAGCAGUGAAAUGCGUAGAUAUCGUGAGGAAGACCAGUGGCGAAGGCGGAUCUCUGGACAGCUCCUGACGCUGAGGCGCGAAGGCUAGGGGAGCAAACGGG
rnacentral:rRNA from 1 species